AAGUCGUAACAAGGUAACCGUAGGUGAACCUGCGGUUGGAUCAUUAUAGAAAUGAUUUUAUUAUUGAGGGAUCAACCUUUAAACAGUUGAUCACUCUUUACCCCAAAACCAUGUGAAUUUGUAUUUCUAUAAGAAACAAUGUAACAGUUGUUUCUUUAAUUUUAAAAACAUUUAUUUAAACUUUUUUUUUUAUAUUUAAAAAACAUAAAGAAAAAACAACUUUUGACAAUGGAUCUCUUGGCUCUC
rnacentral:misc_RNA from 1 species